AGUGACAGCGUACCUUUUGUAUAAUGGGUCAUCGACUUGGUCUAUCUAGCAAGCUUAAGCCGAUAGGUGUAGGCGCAGCGAAAGCGAGUCUGAAUAGGGCGACCGAGUAUGCAGCAUUAGACCCGAAGGCAAGUGAUCUAGGUAUGGGCAGGGUGAAGGUGCAGUAACAUGCACUGGAGGACCGAACCCACGCCUGUUGAAAAAGGCGGGGAUGACUUGUGCCUAGGGGUGAAAGGCCAAUCAAACUCGGAAAUAGCUGGUUCUCCGCGAAAUCUAUUUAGGUAGAGC
rnacentral:rRNA from 1 species